rnacentral:lncRNA from 1 species
GCCUUCAAGGUGAAAGAUGGCCCUAGGGGUGAAGAAGCCACCUGGGUGGUGGACAUGAUGACCAGAAGGACCUGUGCUCCCUAACUCAGAUAAGAAGGCUGACUGCACAAUCACAAUGACUGACUCAGACUUACUGGCUCUGAAGACUGGUAAAAUGAAUCCUCAGAUGGCCUUCUUUCAAGGCAGAUUGAAAAUCACUGGCAACAUGAAUCUGGCUCUGAAGUGACAAAAUCUCCAGCUUCAGCCGCAGGCAAAGCUAAGCUGUAAAGAACUCCCUUUGCCUACCUUUGAAAAUCAAGUUGAGAUAUAUAGAUAUACAUAUAUUUCAUUGUCAGAACUUAGAUUGAAACUACACAUUGGGAAAUAGCAUGAAGUUUGUUUUUCAAUGGGUGUGACCAAUCUUGUUUUUCCUAAGCCCUGGGUGAACAGAGCCUGAUGGUUUACUACUGCUUUGCUGAAUUGCAUUCAACUGUGCA